rnacentral:rRNA from 1 species
UAAUACGUAGGUGGCGAGCGUUAUCCGGAUUUAUUGGGUUUAAAGGGUGCGUAGGCGGCUGAUUAAGUCAGCGGUGAAAGGUAGCAGCUUAACUGUUUUACAUGCCGUUGAUACUGGUUAGCUUGAGUUAACAGAAGGCAGAUAGAAUUUCUGGUGUAGCGGUGAAAUGCUUAGAUACCAGGAGGAAUACCGAUUGCGAAGGCAGUCUGCUGCAGUUACACUGACGCUGAGGCACGAAAGUGCGGGGAUCAAACAGGAUUAGAUACCCUGGUAGUCCGCACAGUAAACGAUGAUUACUAGUUGUUGGCGCAAGUCAGUGACCAAGGGAAACCGAUAAGUAAUCCACCUGGGGAGUACGCCGGCAACGGUG